rnacentral:lncRNA from 1 species
UUUUUUUUUUUUUUUUUUGCCACCCCACCCCAUAUGGAGUUCCUGGGCUAAAGAUCAGAUCUGAGCCACAGUUACAACGUGCAACGCUGAUCUGGGUUGGGGAUCAAACCUGCGUCCCAGUGAAUUUGGCUAUUAUGAAUAAUGCUUCUAUGAAUAUUUUCACAUAACGAUCUGCCAGUAUCAUACUGUCUUAAUUACUGUAGCUUUGUAGGAAGUUUUUGAAUUGGGAAGUGUAAGCCCUCAAACUUGUACUUUUUCAAGAUUGUUUUGACUAUUCUGAGUCCUUUGCAUUUGCAGAUGAAUCUUAGGACCACUUUGUUCAUUUCUGCUACAAAGGAUGGUGCAAUUUUUUUUUUUUUGGUCUUUUUAGGGCCUCACCCAUGGCAUAUGGAGGUUCCCAGGCUAGGGGUCGAAUGAGAGCUGUAGCCUCUGGCCUACACCAUAGCCAUAGCAACUUGGGAUCCGAGCUGCAUCUGUGACCUACACCGCAGUUCACGGCAAUGCAGGAUCCUUAACCCACUGAGCGAGGCCAGGGAUCCAACCCUCAACCUCAUGGAUUCUAGUCGGGUUCGUUACUGCUGAGCCACAACCGGAACUCCCUGACAUGUAAGGACUAAGAUGGGAAGAGAGAGUAGGAGCUUGAUAGGAAAAGGGGUAGAGAAGGGGAAAGAUGUGGGCAGAGGAAGGAGACCUGGGAAAACCUAGAGUGAAACAAAGCAAAGCACAGCAUAUUCAAGGAACUGAAAAAAGCAGAAAUGAGGUUGGAAAGGCCGGCGCGGGCAGGAUGGACUCAGUGGGGUCGGGGGGACUGGCCUUUAUCUGGAAGCCCUGGAAGGACGGUGGGGAGGCCUGUGGGGGGUGGGCUUCCUCAGGUUCCCUGACCAGAAGAGGCCACCAGACAGAAGGGAUGGAGGACACUGUUGUGUGAACUUGAGAAACAGUGGCAACUUGGACUUGGGUACUGGGGACACUGGGGACGGAGUGAAGUGGACUAUGUGUUUGGAAGAAAUCUGGAGGACAGACUUAACAGCGCUUGGUGUCGGGGAAGGGGAGGGAAGGGGAGGAUACCAUGGAUAAUCUUCCAACUUGGUGGAUGGAGAGGCCCUUUGCAGGAUAAAAAAAUGAAACCAGCCUUCUCACUCUGACCAGUGCAGCCCUGUCACCUUGGAAACAACUUCCAUUUCUUCCUCUGUGAGGAAAAACUUGAGAACUGUCCAGGGGUGUCCCUGUCCCCGAGGUGGCCCAGCACCUGACGCUGAGGAAUUGAAGCUCCAGUGCCCUGGCCUCCCCCUCCAGACUCUUCUCCUCCCUUCCCCAGAUCCGACCUCUCCCUUCUUCUAAUUAUGCCCCAAGUUAUCUUUUAAGGUUCUGUACAUGACAUGGGGUGGGCUCCCAAGUUAGAAGAACCAACUGGACAGCCACUGAUUAUCUCAAUAGUUGAGCUCCCUCCAACCCAAAGGCACAACCACUUACCUCUCCCUCUAGGGCCCCCGGUUCUCAAGGCCCCAAAUCUUGCUUUGUGUCAUGAAGACUUUUUCCCUUGGGGGAGGAGUGGGGGUUUGAUCAGACAAGAGCCUGUGUAUCAGCCCACUGCAUUUUAGUCGAGAUAUGGAUCUGGGCAGCUGUUCAGUGAAUAAGCCAGCAGCCUGAGAUGGGAUGGCAUGGUUCAUCUUACCGGGUCACCCUGCCCAGACACAAGGCGCUGGGGGGCAGGGGGGCGGGCACGGAAAGAUGGCAGAGCCAAAAGAAAAGCUUCUAGAUUAAACAGAGAUCAAAAUCCCAGCACAACAAAGGGACAUCUCUGCGGUCAACCUCCUAGUGUUCUCUGCCUACAGUACUGGGUCAGCGUCAGCAGGGAGCCCACAGCCACCCGGGCACCUCCACAACAUGGACCCCAUUCUGUGCAGGGGCUGGUGCUGGCCACGUUGGUGGUAACAUGCGCUCUCUUAAGCACUGGAUGCAUCCGACUACAUGGGAACCUCACCACCUCCUGUAAAGAGUGCGGGGGGGUGCUGUUUGCCCAUGUUCCACACUAGGAAGUGUGCAAGUCUGCACAAGCAUCACUGGACUCUGUCCACCUGGGAAAGGCCUGCAAUACCACAGCCUGGUGCAUUCCCAGGUAGAGUCCAUCCUGCUGGGCCAUUCAGCAGAGGCUUCUCUUUAGGCCCACUGUCCUCCAGGACAUACCUCCUGAGCCCCUGCCAUCCUGGGUCUGUCUCCUCACCCACAGCACCGCCAGGCUGCACCCACACCCCCAACCCUAGAAUGAGGGAGCCACUUGUGGGCAUCACUUUGCCCUGAUCUCAUUUUGUCACCUCCUCCAUAGCUCAAGGGGAACGACAAAUCACAGGGUUUUCAAAAAAUAUGGCCUUUUAUUGUCUUGGAUGCAAAUAUAGUUUUCAAACUGCAUUGUAGUGUUGAAUACAGCUGGUGGAAAGGUGCUUCUCAACAGCGGAGCAUAAACGGCCUUGCUCUGGAUGGCGCAGGCCUGAGGCUUGGGGCCUCCGGUGAGCAAGACUCUUCUUGGGUUUUGUUUUUCUGCCCACGAGGGGUGACUGUUUGCUACAGAAGCCCUGACACAGUCACCGGAGCUCACAAGAGAAAAAAAUGAACCAUUUACACAAUGAACUGAAAGCAGAAAAAGGAAAAGAACGUGCUGUUUCAGCUGUGGCGUUACAGAAGAAGCCCACAAACACGAGUGUGAACAGAUUCAGAUAAAGCAGCAGCAAGGGCGCCGAGGGAGGGGCCUCGUGCCAGUUCCCUCGGGGACACACAGCCUCGGCUCCAUGUCUCCUACCUUUUAACUGCAGGAAGGAAACUUUAUGGAAAUGUAUCGAACUUCAGUUUCUCCCAACCCUCUCCACCACCUCAACUCUUGAGGAUGGCACCUCUCUGUUCACAUACCCAGGAGAGAAUUCUUCCAAUUAGCGACACCCAGGGUUGACUCUGGAACCAAAAGGUUGACUGGGAGAUAAAAGCGAAUUUUGCUACAUAAUUGUCAAGGUAUUUCACAAAAAUAAAAUCCAUUAAAAACACCCACAAACACGCACACACACACACACACACAGAGCCAACAUUCAACAGGAAAAGUUCCCUUUUCUUUCUCAAAGGCUGAUUUUUACAAGCCUCGACAGGAACGGCCCCCACGUGGUGAGCUGGGAAAGCCAAGGCCUCAGAAGGGAAAGACAAUGGGGCAGGUGAUGGAGGGGGUGUGGGCGCAGCUGGGGGUUCUGGGGCCUGUCUCUGCUCCCAGAGCCCCUCCGCUCCCCAAACCUGCCUGCCCAGCAGGUCAAGGUGAUGGCAACCACGGAAACACGCGUGUUGAAGGUCCAAACUCCUCUACCCCUGCUCUCCUCUCCUGCUGUCUAUGUUCAGAUGUGGUGAAAAUCUUUAAUAUACAAGGCAUCAGGGACAUCGAGCCAAAAACCAUGGCCCACCACUGCUGCGCACCCACCUCAGGGCUCGCCAGCUCCCUUCCUCGUUGUCAAGGCCACUGCAGAGGAAGCACUUUGCAAAGUGGCUCCGACAAGCAGCAGACCGGGCGGGUUUCACCUGCAGCAAAUCAAUCAGCGGAAGCAAGGCAUCUCUAGGGAAAGGCAAUUCCUCCACCAGAGAGAGGAGAGCAGCUAUACUCAGCUUAGUUAGGGGCCUGGAGCCGUGAGAGAGACAAAAGACGCAGGCAGAGCUAGAUGACCAUGGGAGGGGAAGAGCAUAGGGGUGCUGUGCCAAGGCUGCCCA